rnacentral:ncRNA from 2 species
UGUGUUUGCUGGGGGCGCUGACAGUGGCUGAGAAGGAUUGUAAUGAUCCUGUCCCUUGGAACCUGAUGCGGAUAAUUCCGACGUAGGGAAGCUGAUAUUUAUUUUU